AUCCUUGGAAUUCUGCAGAGAUGCGGAAGUGCCUUCGGGAAUCAAGUGACAGGUGCUGCAUGGCUGUCGUCAGCUCGUGUCGUGAGAUGUUGGGUUAAGUCCCGUAACGAGCGCAACCCUUGUCCUUUGUUGCCAGCACGUAAAGGUGGGAACUCAAAGGAGACUGCCGGUGACAAACCGGAGGAAGUGGGGACGACGUCAAGUCAUCAUGGCCCUUACGGCCUGGGCUACACACGUGCUACAAUGGUCGGUACAGAGGGUUGCCAAGCCGCGAGGUGGAGCUAAUCCCAGAAAACCGGUCGUAGUCCGGAUCGCAGUCUGCAACUCGACUGCGUGAAGUCGGAAUCGCUAGUAAUCGCGAAUCAGAAUGUCGCGGUGAAUACGUUCCCGGGCCUUGUACACACCGCCCGUCACACCAUGGGAGUGGGUUGCAAAAGAAGUGGCUAGUCUAACCUUCGGGAGGGCGGUCACCACUUUGUGAUUCAUGACUGGGGUGAAGUCGUAACAAGGUAAGCGUAGUGCU
rnacentral:rRNA from 1 species